CGCCAUUUAAAGUGGUACGCGAGCUGGGUUUAGAACGUCGUGAGACAGUUCGGUCCCUAUCUGCCGUGGGCGCUGGAGAACUGAGGGGGGCUGCUCCUAGUACGAGAGGACCGGAGUGGACGCAUCACUGGUGUUCGGGUUGUCAUGCCAAUGGCACUGCCCGGUAGCUAAAUGCGGAAGAGAUAAGUGCUGAAAGCAUCUAAGCACGAAACUUGCCCCGAGAUGAGUUCUCCCUGACCCUUUAAGGGUCCUGAAGGAACGUUGAAGACGACGACGUUGAUAGGCCGGGUGUGUAAGCGCAGCGAUGCGUUGAGCUAACCGGUACUAAUGAACCGUGAGGCUUAACCUUACAACGCCGAAGGUGUUU
rnacentral:rRNA from 1 species